rnacentral:lncRNA from 1 species
UUAUAAAUAAGAAAUUAACCCUUUUAAAUAUUUGUCAUGUAGAGACAAACUCAGUCAUAUCAGAAAAUAAGAAGACUAGGAAAUGAGGGUGGUGCUCUCUCACAACAUAGUGCCAGUGCAAGAGGCUGCUCAAAGUCACUUUACUUUGCCAUUGCCUCUUCUCUGCAGACCAUCCACCAUGUUUCUCCUUUGUUGGAUAUCAUUUUUAUUAUCGAUAGGAAAUUCCUUUGCAAAUACAAUUCAACCAUUAUACUCUGAAAAGCAUGUUGUCAGAGGUGAAAAUGUGAUUCUUUCUUGUAACUACACUGGCGAUGUAAACAAUCUGCAGUGGUAUCAUCAAUAUCCUGGAUCUCAACCAGAGCACCUCAUUCUUGUCACAGAAUAUUCAGAACCUGAUCUUUCACUUCGUCUGUCAGCAAAAGCUUCAAAAGAUCUAAAACAAGUGAAUCUAACAAUCUCCUCUGCUGAAGAAACAGAUUCUGCUCUGUACUACUGCGCCCUGGAGCCCACAGUGACAGGAAACACAAGAACGCCAUACAAAAACCUUUUAUAUACUGUGUAACGGUGGUGGGCCCCAGAACCAAUUGCAGUCAAGAUUUCAAUAAAUAGUUUUCGGUCGCCAUCAAAUCAUUCACAGUCUUUUGUCUCUUUUUUUCCUUCCAAUCAAAAACUUGUAAUUAAACAACAAUAGAUUUACUCAAAACACUGCCAAAGAAAGUCUAGUUUUGAUCAACACCAAAACAAUAAAAAUAAAAAAAAUACAGCCACAAAGCAAAAAAGAAAAACAAAGAUUUAUAGUACAAUAGAAUACUUCCAGACUCCACUUAUUUUCUCUUUGUUCUGAGUAUCUAUUUUUAACCCAUAAGAUAUGUCAGAUGUGUCACAGUUCGUUGUAACUAGGGCUUUCAGCAGUAUAUUUCACAUGUCCCUUUUAAAUCCCAGUUUAGACUCAUGUAGGUAACACCCACUGAAUAAGUAGUUCGUAGGAGUAAGAGGUACAAACAAUCAACAAAACCGUAACUCUCACGAGAACUGUUCACUGGUGACGUCCCUGCUCCCCCGGUGUGUGAGCCUCACCCCUAUAUUUACUUCUCCCAUUAAUUGAUAUGCACGCCUCCCGUUACGUCAUUGAGUUGUGAAAUCAAAGUGAAAGUAAACACGUGGCAUACAGAGUUUUCCGUUCUGCCACAACUGUAUAUAUAAUAAUUCUGAAUUUACAUGUAUUUGAGUCUCAACAAUGAAAGCCUGAUGUUACAUUACAUAAAAUAUUAAAUAAAAUUUUACAAGUGUAAACAUUUGUCCAAUGUCUUUCAAUCAAUCAAUCAGCGGCAACAAAGUAAACUAAGCACACUAUUAUCUUCACAUUAAAGAAACAGUGACAUACAAGUAGGCCUAUCUUAACGUCAGUAUUACAUACAAGGGGGUCCAAAAGUCUGGAGACAACAUAAAAAUGCAUCUAUUUUUAUUUUUUUAAACAUAGUUUUACAGUUUUCAAUACAUACAUGUUUAUUUAUUUAUUUGUUCAUUCAUUCAUUCAUUUCCAGGUCUAAAUUACAUAAUAACUCCCAUAUUUUCUGACCUCACUGUAUCAAGAAGCUAAAAAGUUUGAAGCAGUCUUUCAAGUUUGACCCACAGGAGUGUGCUCUUCUGAGCUGAGAAGCUCCUUCAAUGCAGUACAGAAUUAAACAUUAAUCCAGUGUUUAUUCAGUCUGUGAAGAUCUUUCUAUAUUACACUAAGUCAAUAAAGAUUCCUGAUAAGCUACAUCUUUCAUUACAGAAAAUUUUAUUUAUG